ensembl:lncRNA
GAAAAAGUUUUACUCUUGACAAAAUUACACAAAUGUAACUUCAUACCGUUCUGCUGCAAUCCAAUAUGUCAUAUUUUCUGAGCAAUUUCUUUGGUAAAUUGUAAAGCCUAUUUUGUUUAAAUUUGCAGUCUGGGAUCUUUGGCCACUGGUUGUAAAAGUAUUGCUAUUGAGCCAAAAUGGAUCCCAGAGAACUGUGCCUUCGGGAAAGUAUUCAGACCCCUUCACCUUCUUAAAAUUUUGUUGUGUUAUAGACUUCAUUUAGAAUUGAUUAAAUUGUUCUUGACAUCAAUCCAUACGCAGUACCCAAUAAUGACAAAGCAAAAACACAUGAGAAGCAUCAUCAUAGCACGAUGCUGCCACUAUCACACUUCACUGUAGGGAUGGUAUUAGCCAGAUGUAGCACUUGAUAUUCAGGUCAAACUCUUUGAUUUUGGUCUCAUCAGACAAGAGACAAUUUUUAAUCAGGCUGUCGGAGUCCUUCAGGCAGCAUGUCAUAUGCCUUUUACUCAGGAAUGGCCUCCAUCUAGCCACUUGUACCAGAAAGACCUAAUCGAGUUCUGCAAUCGUUCUUGAGAUAUUUGUAUACAUCUAGGACACAGCAUGUGUCUGAGAUCAAUUUGGAAUGCCAUGGCAAAUAAUCAAUGAAGAGUAUAUUGAAUUCAGUCUAUAACACAACAAAAUGUGGAGGAAAUGUAUGUGCAGGUAUGUGCCCAUUUCAUACAAACUACUCAAAUUAAAUUGUCAUGGUUAACUAAGGUAUGGUCAUUAUUCUACCAAUAGACUAUUCAGUAAUAAGUAAUAACAACAACAUAUUACACAACCAUGCCAAAAUAGUUUGUUAGUCAGAGUCCCAGACUGGAUUUUUAACUUUCAUUUAUGAGGUAUUUAGCCUGGCAAUUGCAUAUUUUAUUACAAUUUCUAAAACUUUUGGUAUAUGUGGAUUGAAAUUGUAUAUGAAAGCACAUUGAUAAUAUAAGAAUACGUGGUGUAAAAUAAAAGUUAUAGCCAAAUCCAAAUGACCACACCUGGUGGAAAGAACGCGGGAGAUUUUCAACAAACCCACCCCUUAUGCAAAUAUUUAAGCUAUGAUUUCGCGCCACCGUGUAGGGCUUGAAAGGUUACAAUUUCUGAAUCUGUAUAUGUAUAAUCAUUGUUUCACAUUUGUACAAAAAUAAAAGUAUUCAGCAGGAAUAUUUAAAUAAUG